rnacentral:sRNA from 1 species
GGUAGCAACGGGGCAGGAGGUUGCCAGGGGCCAGGUGGAGGCUUAAAAUUUUAUUCUCCGUAGCGUGGGACUCCAGAAUGACCUUCUGCAAGGAAAUGGUUUGCCAGCGGUGUGGCGUGCUCACACUUGCCUUCUGCAUGCUAUUCUCCAGUGAGUGGCCUUGUUUUGAGGCUAUGGGAAUCUGGGCGGCACCUUGACAGGAAGUAUUAACUGGGAGGGCCAAGGCUGAUAGUUCCCACCUCUGGUUCCUGCCUCGAUUAGAAGUUCUGUGAGCAUCCACUACUGCCCCACCCUCCCCCAGCCAUAAACUGAGCAUCCAGGGCCUGGAAGUCUCCCCUCCCUGCUGAUGAUAGCAUUGUGGCCACAGAGACAUGAAAGCAAGGGACACACACAGAACCCAGGGCAAGCUCAGCAGUAGAGAGUCCUCUCUGGUCACCAAGGCAAAGAUCUUAGGGCUCCAGUUAACCACUUCCCUGAGUGUCCAGAAAGCAAGUGAGACCCUGAGACCCAUUGGUGCCUUUGGGACAUAAGCCAGGUUUCCCUCCGCCCCCCACUCUCUAUUCUUAUUUCUAGCAUGUGGCCAUCUUCUGGGGAUGCCCACUUCCCAGAUGGUCUGAGGUUCAAGUCAGUCCUCUGUCAGAUGUACAAGGUUAAGAUCAGAGCUGUGGGUGUCUCUUUUUAUCCCGAGUUGGCCUUGGUCAGACUGCCUGCUUCCUCUGUAUCCUCAACCAGCAGGAGGAUACUCCCAGUGUUCCCUGUGUCUGCCAGGUAGACUGAUGGUCCAACUUCAGAUGUCAGAGAAUGGAACCCCAGGGCUGGUCACGUUUCCCCCUUGUCUGACUUUUCUCUCCAAUACUGUUGUCUUCCUUUGCUGCCUUAUUAACAAAACAAUUAUUUCUCCUGCUUCAGGCCAGGCAGGCAGCGCACAUCUGAGAAGCAGACGUAGAAAAACUGGAAGAGAAGAUUGAGCUCAGGGGAUAUGAAAGGCAGAGCCCUGGACAAGCCAGUCCCCUCACACUCGGUCCCACAUCCACCAUGCCUCUGCUGGGUUUACAUCUAUAAGCCUGGAUUUCCUUGCAGGAGUUGUCUCUGCGUGAGUCAGUGCACAUGAGCACAGAUCUCCCCGGAUUCCGGAAGAGGACAUCAGAUCCCUUGGAGCUGUAGUUCCAGGCAGUUAUGAGACACCCAACACGGGUGCUGGGAGUUGAACCCAGGUCCUCUGCAAGAGCAGGGAGCACUCGUCACUGCUGAGCUGUCUGCAGGCACUGGUCCCACCUGUCUAACUGCAAAGCCCAAGUCUUCCUGUGGCACCAGGAGGCUUCUGAGAUCAAUUCGAUACAAAGAACCGAGUGAUGUGCACAGCAGGAGUGUGAGUGUGAAGUGGAGGGGUAUGUCCAAGAACGGAGGCUUCAGGCUAACAAGGACCAGACACUUUGGCCUGUGGCCUCUGGGUGCCUCUGCCAACAGCUCGAGAAUGCAAGCAUGGCCCCAGGAGGACCUACAACUCUGAGGCACCAUGGUAACUUCCCAAGGAGACGUGAGCCUGCCACACCAGGAGGCUCCCAGCUGGCAGAACACUUACAGAUUGCCUUUUCAACCCACCCCACAGACUGGAAAACAAGACCCAGAUCAGGGCAGGAAGAAGGUCCUGAUCAUGUGAUGAAGCAUGAGGCAGGACUUGAACCCAGUUCAUGAAGUCCCAUGCCAGAGCAGCAGAGGCCUGGGCGUGGUGUCCACAGAGCAGAAUGAGCCUUGUUGGCCAGCAACGGUGCUGAGCUUUAACCUACAUCAGAUUAUCAACUACUGGAUACGGUGCCCCAUGCAGGUAAUAUCAGCCCCCAGGAGGCUGAGACAGGAGGAUGAUGAAAUCAAGGCCAGCCUGAGUUACCUAGCCAGAUCCUGUCCAGCCUGAGCUGUCACCUUAAGGAAGGCUGCAAGCUCACAGCUAAGUUCAAGAAGGAGUUCAGGGUGCAUCAUAGGCAUGAAGGGUCCAGCCCCAUCAGAAGCAUGAAGAAGGGUACAUCCCAUCACAGCCUUCAUCCAAGGUACCUCUUGAAGAGCCAGUGGUCUGUUCGUGAGGCAGAGAAACUGAAGCCAGGAGGUAAAUACCCACAGCUGUCUUCCUCUGGGAAACAAACCUGGUGUUAGAACCCUGCCUGGUAACUGUAGAGCCAGUGCUGUUAGCAUCUGAGUCCACACCGUGUGAGCAGUCUGACAUCUUGUUGAUUUAACAGGCCAAUGUGGGCAAAUUCAAGGAGAUUAUCUUGGGGAGGUGUCCAUGUCUGCAAACAGCAUUACACACGCCCUGGGCUUUGUCUGCAGUGCCUCAGAUAUUGACGAGACCCUGCUUAAAGAAUCCAGAGGAAUCAGCUUCCUUAAGUAGGACAGAUACUGAAUGCCUGCCGUGACCACGGAGUGCGUGGGUCUCGAUGCCCCAUGCACCAUCAGCGCAUCUGCCCCCCAACACACACC